CCCAAAGGGGAUUGGCCUUAGUACGGCGAGUGAAGCGGCAAAAGCUCAAAUUUGAAAUCUGGCACCUUCGGUGUCCGAGUUGUAAUUUGAAGAAGGUAACUUUGGAGUUGGCUCUUGUCUAUGUUCCUUGGAACAGGACGUCACAGAGGGUGAGAAUCCCGUGCGAUGAGAUGCCCAAUUCUAUGUAAAGUGCUUUCGAAGAGUCGAGUUGUUUGGGAAUGCAGCUCUAAGUGGGUGGUAAAUUCCAUCUAAAGCUAAAUAUUGGCGAGAGACCGAUAGCGAACAAGUACAGUGAUGGAAAGAUGAAAAGAACUUUGAAAAGAGAGUGAAAAAGUACGUGAAAUUGUUGAAAGGGAAGGGCUUGAGAUCAGACUUGGUAUUUUGCGAUCCUUUCCUUCUUGGUUGGGUUCCUCGCAGCUUACUGGGCCAGCAUCGGUUUGGAUGGUAGGAUAAUGACUAAGGAAUGUGGCUCUACUUCGGUGGAGUGUUAUAGCCUUGGUUGAUACUGCCUGUCUAGACCGAGGACUGCGUCUUUUGACUAGGAUGUUGGCAUAAUGAUCUUAAGCCACCCGUCUGAAAAACGCGGGACAAAAAAAACCUUUAGGUUG
rnacentral:rRNA from 1 species